AGUGAACGCUGGCGGUAGGCCUAACACAUGCAAGUCGAACGGCAGCACAGUAAGAGCUUGCUCUUACGGGUGGCGAGUGGCGGACGGGUGAGGAAUACAUCGGAAUCUACUUUUUCGUGGGGGAUAACGUAGGGAAACUUACGCUAAUACCGCAUACGACCUACGGGUGAAAGCAGGGGAUCUUCGGGCCUUGCGCGAUUGAAUGAGCCGAUGUCGGAUUAGCUAGUUGGCGGGGUAAAGGCCCACCAAGGCGACGACCCGUAGCUGGUCUGAGAGGAUGAUCAGCCACACUGGAACUGAGACACGGUCCAGACUCCUACGGGAGGCAGCAGUGGGGAAUAUUGGACAAUGGGCGCAAGCCUGAUCCAGCCAUACCGCGUGGGUGAAGAAGGCCUUCGGGUUGUAAAGCCCUUUUGUUGGGAAAGAAAAGCAGCAGGUUAAUACCCCGCUGUUCUGACGGUACCCAAAGAAUAAGCACCGGCUAACUUCGUG
rnacentral:rRNA from 1 species